ensembl:lncRNA
CUGAGAUACCAAUGGUUAAACUAGCGAUAGAACAUACUGCUAUUGCUAAAUAGAAAUAACCAAGCACCUGCACUUUGGAGCAGGACUUGGGCUGGUCCUAGGACUUGGACUAGGAGAGGCUGGUGAAAGAAAGUUGUUUCUUCACUCAGCUGAUUCUGCUUACUGCUGAGGGUAACUUUACAGGAAGAGUGCUCUGCCUGGGCUCCUUUACCGUGGCUAUUUAAUGGCUGAAAAACUGAAAAAAGAACUAUGUUUUCUUCACAAGCUGCGACCUUCCUAAAGUAAUCAUCUAGCACAAGUUUGCCUCCUGGACUAUUCCAGAAAUUGAUCUUCCAGUAACUGAGAGAACUCAAAAAUACCCAAUGCUGAUGUGGCUUCAGUAGUCAUUGUGGUCUCUUCCUCAGAAGAAAGUCUGAAAAUAGGGGUCCCCACAGGGUUUUGUUCUGUAGUUUACAGAGGCUAUAAAUAUAUUAAUCAACCCUAAUGAUUCUCCAGAAUAUAUUCACUUCAAUACUAAUGGCUAGAUUGCCCCAUAAUGAAGAGAGAUUUUAUGAUAUUUUUGUCUAGUUCUAUUGCACUUUUAGUGGCUGGAGAGAUUCCAUUUAAGUUAAUCUCGUGUCUCUCCUUCAGGAAGCAAGGUCAUGUCCAGUAUCAGUUAAAUAUAUGGCACUACGCCUAUCAAGACUUUUGGAUCUUGCAGUUCCAGGGGCAGAUUUCAACACACGCAGUCCUUUACUAAUAUUAAAUAGCAAAAUUGCCUUAAGGAUCAUUAAAACCGUUGUGAUUUUUUUGUGCAUCUGCUGUUUGUCUCUCAGUGGAAUCUGACCUCUCCUUGCUUUGUGUGCCUUGAAGGGUAAGACUUCUUUGAUGUUCUCUCUCUGUAUUCACUCUUCAGUGCAGUCCCUACUGCUCCUGGAACAGCUGUUCCUCUGCUGCUCAAUCUCAGUUCUUUGGCUUCUUUCACCCUGUCUGUAAACAUGGCUGUAUGUUCCAAAUAAGCUUUCCAACACUCAUUCUCUGCUAGCAUUUAUCAGACCUUAUUAGUUAGUGUUAGUAUUUCCAAGUCCAGUUUGCCAAUGGUCUUUCCUAGCCAAGUGGGCUUCUUUCUAUUCACAUCCUCCUUAAAGCUGCUUUAGGACCACUGGCACUUCACAUCUCCACCGUAUCCUUCAGUGAGCCUGCAUUCCUGCUUUCUGCUUUUACCUCCUGAACCUCCUUGUUCCCUUCAGCACCUCCUCUGGCAGAUCCUCCCACUCCCUCUCCACUGUCUGUUGGCACCCUUCAGAUUUUCACCCUCGGUCCUCCUCCCUUCAUCUUUGUAGUACCUAUUUUGGCUAACUCGUCCUCCCCAUCAGUUUCUGUUACUUAUAACUCUUUUCCUCCUGUUGUGAAUUUGUUGCUUCUUUGAUAUUGCACUGCCAUCCUAAACUCUCUUUUGAUGGGGCUUUCUUAGCUAUCUCAAGUACGCUCUUUUCUCCCGCUUUAAGUUAUUGUACCAUCUUCUUGUCUUGCAGCUCUAAUGUCAGUGUUGAUUUCUCAUUCUCUCCUUAUGUCUCUAUCUACACAGUUAUUAAAUCAGAUUUUAUUCCAUAUGACAUUAGCUAGUCUAUCCGUGGCAGUUUGUCUUCAUUGCUUCAGUACUUGUCCAUUUUUGCUCUCAUUUCCAAGCAUCUUUUUGCUAUUUUCUAAAACAAAUUAGCUAUGCAUAUGUUCACUCUUUUCUAACCAUAUCUCCCUUUAAUCCAAAUCAUUUCACCUGCUUCCUCAGUCUUACUACAUAAUCCCUUUUAAUGCUUUGGAUAACCUCUCUCCCCGAACCUCUUUGAAUUUACCUACAACCUUUUUUUUUUUUUUUUUUUUUCCCUGCCAAGGUCCUCAUUUCAUUGUCAUUUUUUUACAGGCUUCCUGCAGUCUAGAGAGGAGGGGCUGCAGCUGCCGAUACGCACAGGGUGACCUUCCUGUUUCCGAAUGCUAUUAAGUCCUAAUGGCAGGAGACCUCUGCAUCCUGAGGGAAGGAUUUAAACCACCGAAACUGCGCCGGCUGGCAGAACAGAAUUUACCAGCCCUUGGAGGAAGGCUAGAUGGAAUCUGAACAACCUCUGGGUCAGCCUGUGGCAGCAGAGGAUCCCUCCUCCCAUGGAAGAGGUGUUCGUACCGCUCAGGUGCCGCAGUGCUGCGCCGGCAGUCCCACCACAGCCCCCAGCAGAGGCACCUGGCAGGGCUGCCUCCAGCCCAGCUCAACAACACGAGCUGAACGAGCCCAAGUGCUUUCUGAAAGCACAGCUGUGCCCAGAUCGGGGCAGUUCCUGGCAUCACUAGGUGCGAUUUUUCCAUGCUCAUAGCCAGCAUAGUUACGCCUCUGAAACUUUGUAGUAGAGACCUGGCUGGAAUCCUUCAGAUCCUCGCUCUCAGCCUUGGCAAAGCAAGCCCUCUAACUCUGUUGGAGCCAAGGCAGCUCAGCUCUUCCCAUUUAACAGUCCAGACCUUGUUCUUUCAGUGACCAGAAAAGUUGUUCCUGCGGGAAUGGCUUAUCUCUCUGUUCACUGCUUCAUAUCCUGCCUAAAACACUACUAUGGGAUGUAUGGCUGCUCUACUGGAUGCCAAUAUCCAUCCUGUGCUUUUGGAAAGGCAAUUCAAAUUCUGUGCACAGGCUUCUGGCAUGCUGAAAGCUUUUGGUUGCCUGUGUCCAAAGGGCUUACUUGUACAUGUGUGCAGUGCUGGGUUAGCUGGCAGAAAAUAUCACAUUUCCAAACCCUCUGCAAGGAAUCAGUGCUGAAGUUCUGCCUCCCUGAUCUUGUAUUGAUGUUUCCUUUGCUAAUGGCAUGUUAGAACACAAGUUUUAUUUACCCAGGAUAAUAUUUCAUUUUGUCCAUGUGCUGAGGUGAUAAAGUACUUAAAUACAUUGGAUGAUCUUUUCCUAAUGCCAUUUGGUGUGUUUAUGUUGUGUUGCCAUUUUUUAGAGAUAAAAAGAGGCUGAAAGAGCACCAGAGCAUGGAAGAGAUACUUAUGAGUGUUGGGCCAUCAUCAGAGGAAAAAAGAGAGACAAAUAUGAAAAAGAAUGAGUGCUGUGUUUAGUACUUUCUUCUCAUCCUUCACACGGGCAUUUCUGGAAGAGUUCUGGUGUGAUACAGUGUGGUUAAGAUAAGCAGUGGCUGCAAAAGUGCAUAAAAAGUUAGAGAUGACCGACUGCGAUUUUUGCCCAGCCACCUCACAGUGGUGCUUCUCUUAGUGGUCCCUCAUUCAUUUGGACAAAGUAUCUUAGCACGAUAGGAUGUGAAACUUGGCCAUGAGGGGAGGUACACAGAUAAUUUGCUGGUUCUUUCAGCACUUGGAGAAGUUGAUUAUCAUCUGAGAAAGAUUCUCAAAUAUUGUUGAGUGCUGGUUCAAAUGCGACAUAUAAAUGAAGUGAGUUGGGGCUGUCUGCUGAUAUCCUCUAAAGCUACACAGCAGUGCUUCUACAAGAAGUAAGUGCCAGGCAAAGAAACCUGACUUACACAAGUGCAACGUUAUGGACGUGAAAACAAUCAAUGUCCAGAAUGAAAGGAGGCCAGAGAAAUAGUGGGACUCCCAUCACCCCUGUUCUAUUUUAAGGAAUGGUUGCUAGAUAAUGCCAUUCAUGGAGAGUGAAGAUGAAUGUUCUCCCAGUGAUACUUUACAAUAUUUUCAGUGGUAUAUUUGCUCAGCUUUGUAAAAUCCUGAUACAAGGGAACAAGUAAUAUGCAUCAAGUUUAUCGAAGCUCAUUAAUUUGAUGAAAUAUAUUGGAAGGAUUGAUUUAUUCACAAUAUUAAACAGCUACUUACGUGAAACUCUGCUUUCUGACUGGUAACGUGAGAACACACAUUGGUUGCUUGCUAUUUUGUUAAUACUUUCACAAAACCACAUCAGCCUCUUUGUUUUUCUGCUGUUUCUCACAGUUCAGCAGACAGCAACAUGCACUUAACAAAAAUAGAGAGGCUUAGAGACAUGUGCAAGAGACAGCUUCAGAAAAACUCUCAAGACAUGCUAAUCAUCUCUAAGAAGAAAAUAUGUUAUUGGCCUAGUAACCAAGGAACAGACAAAGCUUCCAGGAGAUAUGCAGACUUUAAAACAAUCUGCAGUAUAAUUCCACAUAAAUGGCACCAAAACAAUCUCCAAGGGAGUUGCUGCAUCAUUUUGUCACAGCUCAGCACAACACUUGGUCACUAAAUGAUGCAGCUCUUUGAUAUCUCAUUCCCAUUUUGGUUUGCUUAGGCAAAUCCAGAUGAUCUCUGCCCUGUGCAUCAGUGGAUGCUACAAUCAUUAUGGCUGUGCUCAGGCCCCCAUUCCACAGGAAGAACCACUGGAAUUGUUUACUAUGGAGAAAAGGAGGCUGAAGGGAGACCUUAUUGCUCUCUUCCAGUACCUGAAAGGUGAUUGCAGUGGGAGCAGGGCUGGUCUCUUCUCACUGGUGACAGGACGAGGGGAAAUGGCCCCAAGUUGCACCAGGGGAGGUUUAGGUUGGAUAUCAGGAAAAACUUCUCUACUGAAAGGGCUGUUAAGCACAGGAAUAGGCUCCCCAGGGAGGUGGUUGAGUCACCAUCCCUGAAUGUGUUUAAAAACCAUCUGGAUGUGGUGCUCAGAGAUAUGAUUUAGUGGAGGGUUGUUAGAGUUAGGGUAGCAUGAUUAGGCUGUGGUUGGACUUGAUGAUCUUUAAGGUCUUUUCCAACCUGAGCAAUUCUACGGUUCUAUGAUUCUAUGAUUCCUGCUCUGGUCUUGGCCAGCACAGAUCACUAACUCCAACCCCUGGCACCUGCACCAUCCCACCAUUCCUUCUGCAGAUGUGAAAUUCAGCAUGAGCAAAACUCACCCAGGUCUAGGUCAUAACAAGCCCUAGGUUAGAAAAACGUGGUGUUGUCAAUUUUAGUUGGUGUUUUGACUAAAUAUGCAAGGAUUAAUGGUACAAGUGGUUAUUCCAGCAUAUCUGAGAGGCCGUAUCCUCUGGAAAGGUGAACAAACAGCAUGACAGUGGCGGUGGGCUGCCUGGCAUGGGGUGGGUUCUUGUUCAAAUAGCGUCCUCCUCUCACCAAGCAAUAUCUGCCCGUGGUCUAAUAUUGAGUUAAACUGUUCUUACCUUAAAUAAAUGAAAGAUGUCUUAGUGCUUCAUUAUUGCAUAU